GAUGGACGCUGGCGGCGUGCCUAAUACAUGCAAGUCGAGCGAACUGAUUAGAAGCUUGCUUCUAUGACGUUAGCGGCGGACGGGUGAGUAACACGUGGGCAACCUGCCUGUAAGACUGGGAUAACUUCGGGAAACCGAAGCUAAUACCGGAUAGGAUCUUCUCCUUCAUGGGAGAUGAUUGAAAGAUGGUUUCGGCUAUCACUUACAGAUGGGCCCGCGGUGCAUUAGCUAGUUGGUGAGGUAACGGCUCACCAAGGCAACGAUGCAUAGCCGACCUGAGAGGGUGAUCGGCCACACUGGGACUGGGACACGGCCCAGACUCCUACGGGAGGCAGCAGUAGGGAAUCUUCCGCAAUGGACGAAAGUCUGACGGAGCAACGCCGCGUGAGUGAUGAAGGCUUUCGGGUCGUAAAACUCUGUUGUUAGGGAAGAACAAGUACAAGAGUAACUGCUUGUACCUUGACGGUACCUAACCAGAAAGCCACGGCUAACUACGUGCCAGCAGCCGCGGUAA
rnacentral:rRNA from 1 species